rnacentral:rRNA from 1 species
CGCGUAGGCGGUGAGAUGUGUGUGAUGUGAAAGCCCCGGGCUUAACCUGGGAAGUGCAUCGCAAACUGUCUGACUGGAGUAUAUGAGAGGGUGGCGGAAUUUCCGGUGUAGCGGUGAAAUGCGUAGAGAUCGGAAGGAACGUCGAUGGCGAAGGCAGCCACCUGGCAUAAUACUGACGCUGAGGCGCGAAAGCGUGGGGAUCGAACAGGAUUAGAUACCCUGGUAGUCCACGCUGUAAACGAUGAGUACUAGAUGUUGGUAGGGGAACCUAUCGGUAUCGAAGCUAACGCGAUAAGUAUUCCGCCUGGGAAGUACGGCCGCAAGGUUGAA